AUUGAACGCUGGCGGCAUGCUUUACACAUGCAAGUCGAACGGUAGAGGGGGCAACCCCUUGAGAGUGGCGAACGGGUGAGUAAUGCAUCGGAACGUGCCCAGUCGUGGGGGAUAACGCAGCGAAAGCUGUGCUAAUACCGCAUACGAUCUCUGGAUGAAAGCGGGGGACCGAAAGGCCUCGCGCGAUUGGAGCGGCCGAUGUGAGAUUAGUGAGUUGGGGGGGUAAAGGCUCACCAAGCCAACGACCGGUAGCUGGUCUGAGAGGACGACCAGCCACACUGGGAGUAGGACACGUCCCAAACUCCUACGGGAGGCAGCAGUGGGGAAUGUUGGACAAUGGGCGCAAGCCUGAUCCAGCAACGCCGCGUGCAGGAAGAAGGCCUUCGGGUUGUAAACUGCUUUUGUACGGAACGAAAAGGUCUGGGUUAAAACCCUGGGCACAUGACGGUACCGUAAGAAUAGGCACCGGCUAACUACGUGCCAGCAGCCGCCGCCG
rnacentral:rRNA from 1 species